CCAGACUCCUACGGGAGGCAGCAGUGAGGAAUAUUGGUCAAUGGCCGAGAGGCUGAACCAGCCAAGUCGCGUGAGGGAUGACGGCCCUACGGGUUGUAAACCUCUUUUGCCGGGGAGCAAAGAGCGGGACGCGUCCCGCCUCGAGAGUACCCGGAGAAAAAGCAUCGGCUAACUCCGUGCCAGCAGCCGCGGUAAUACGGAGGAUGCGAGCGUUAUCCGGAUUUAUUGGGUUUAAAGGGUGCGUAGGCGGAAUGCCAAGUCAGCGGUAAAAUCGCGGGGCUCAACCUCGCUCCGCCGUUGAAACUGGCGUUCUUGAGUGGGCGAGAAGUAUGCGGAAUGCGUGGUGUAGCGGUGAAAUGCAUAGAUAUCACGCAGAACUCCGAUUGCGAAGGCAGCAUACCGGCGCCCAACUGACGCUGAAGCACGAAAGCGUGGGUAUCGAACAGGAUUAGAUACCCUCGUA
rnacentral:rRNA from 1 species